GAGGAGUGGGGUUGGAAAUUUCAUAGUCUCAACUGGGAUCCUCAGCUAGAUGGAAUGGGGCUUGGGCAUUGCUCCCCAAAUGAGACUCAGCCCCACAGCAUGAGACUCCCCGAAGACACCGACAGGAUCAAGAUUUGUGCUGCUGGAAUGAUUCGGGAGUCCCUCUGCUCUUCAUGGUCCACGGGGAAGAAUAAAAAGAUGUAACCACCUCCCUU
rnacentral:lncRNA from 1 species